ensembl:lncRNA
GCUGGAGCCAGGCAGCACGGUGUCUAUAAGAAGCAAAGGAAGGAGGAGCCCACACACAGAAUUCCAAAGCACGGAGCCAGGCUCCUCAGAGGUGAGGAGACCUAAGAGAUGGCACGGGACGGAAACAAGCAGAAGGAGGUUCAAGAAGGGUUGAAGUAGCGAGGAUGAGAUGCACACAUGCAUGGCAUUGACAAAGGACAGGCUGAUUUAAUUAAAAAGAAGGGGAUGGUGCACGCACCAGUCCGCUAUCCACAGCUGUGACAAAAGACCUGAAGAAGUCAAGGCAUGAAGUUGGCAGUUCUGAAGGAGAAGAUUCGUGUAGAACGGCUGAGGAUACAAAGAUGGUGGAGGCAUCGCCUCUGACCUGAGGAGUUCGUGGUACAUGCUAGCAGAAGCCCAGGCAGCCAGGAAGAGCUCAUCAGUUAAGGAGUUAGAGGUCCGCUCUGCAGGAAGUGGGAAGCCCUGAGGAGUCUGGGCAGGAGAGACCAUUGCCAGCAGAUGUCCACUCUGCCUGGCAGUGGCUUGGAGUCCACGGCAGUGAGAUCUACAGUCGAUAGAUUCUGACUUCAGAGAAAGGCUCAACUUGAACUGUUCUUGCCUGGACAAAUUUCCUGUGGCCUUGAGCCUCCCAAUAGAUGCUUCUCUGAGAGGAUCUGGAGCUGGGAAACGUUGGAUAUUUUUAAAUCAUGGUGCGAACUGGGCAAGUUGGCUGGAUCUGACUGAAGCCUCCCAAACCCAGUGGUAACAGUUUGUUCUUUGGCAUCCUUUCAAAAAGCCACCAUUUCUAAGUGGAAAGAACUGUAUCAUUUGAAGACUUUGGAAACACAUCGCUUUCUCGGCUAAAGUGAAAACAUCUAGACCAUUGGAAUAGUUUUCUAUCUGGAACAAGAAUAAAGAUGAAUCCAGAUAGCCUGCCGGAAUAAUAGUCAAGUUCAGUCUCAUGGAGACGAAGCACCCUCGAGUCACACCUGACAUUGCUGAAUAUUAAGUGUUUGGACACAGUAUGGCUGUUGUCGGUAAUCGCUCUGACAUGACAUUAAACUGUCAGCAUUCUUCAGUUGCCCUUGCCUCAAGGUCAAAUUUGGGUCAUACUGGAGAGCUUACUUGUAGCUCACUGGGUGACCAGAAUCAAAUGUACGGCCAAGACGACUCUGCCACAAAGACUGAAUGCCUCUGUUUUAGAAAUAUUCCAUCAGAGCAACAUUUCGUCCAUGUUUAGGGCAUUCAUCUAAAUAUUUAGAAGUGUAAAAGACUAUGUAGAGGGAGAGAUGUUGAAAUUCCUUUAAGGGGUAGAAUACUGUUUUAUGGAGGGUGUGGUCAGAGACAACUGGAUCAUGGGGGUGAAGUUCCCAUGAUCUCUGGUUUGCCCUUCUGAAAGGGAUCUCAAAGACCCCACAGUCUAACCUGGAAGUGGGUCCUCCCCCCAACCCACUGUGCUGGAGGUCUGCCCCAAGCCAGAAUUGUAGGAAACCUCUAUCUGUAAUUUAUAAGUUGCCCAGUCUAGAAAGAGAAAGAGAUCUUGGGUGGACAGAGGGGAUUUAGAAAAAGCUAGCUGGCGAACAUGCAGGUAUGUGUGGCUCAUUGUUUUGCUGUUAUUUUUAAGUAUGUAGGAGACAAGAUCAGCCCUGGGAGAUGUUGUGUGGUAACAAGACAAAAAUUAGAAAUACCUUGUUUGGUAAGAAAAGGUUCUCUCUAGAUAGAGCUUGACUAGACUAACGGGUUCUGUUGAAGACCACAGGAGUACAUGCAUUAAAGCGAAAAGCAGC